GACGAACGCUGGCGGCGUGCUUAACACAUGCAAGUCGAACGAUGAACCAGGGCUUGCCCUGGGGAUUAGUGGCGAACGGGUGAGUAACACGUGGGCAACCUGCCCCAGACACCGGGAUAACCUCUCGAAAGAGUGGCUAAUACCGGAUAUGACCACUUCGGGCAUCCGACGGUGGUGGAAAGGAUUCUGGUCUGGGAUGGGCCCGCGGCCUAUCAGCUAGUUGGUGGGGUAAUGGCCUACCAAGGCGACGACGGGUAGCCGGCCUGAGAGGGCGACCGGCCACACUGGGACUGAGACACGGCCCAGACUCCUACGGGAGGCAGCAGUGGGGAAUAUUGCGCAAUGGGCGAAAGCCUGACGCAGCGACGCCGCGUGAGGGACGAAGGUCUUCGGAUUGUAAACCUCUUUCAGCAGGGACGAAGCGAAAGUGACUGUACCUGCAGAAGAAGCACCGGCUAACUACGUAGCCAGCAGCCGCGGUAAU
rnacentral:rRNA from 1 species